rnacentral:rRNA from 1 species
CCUACGGGAGGCAGCAGUGAGGAAUAUUGGUCAAUGGCCGGAAGGCUGAACCAGCCAUGCCGCGUGAAGGUCAGUGCCCUAUGGGCGUUAAACUUCUUUUGUGCGGGAGCAAUAAUGGUCACGUGUGGCCAGACGAGAGUACCGUACGAAUAAGCAUCGGCUAACUCCGUGCCAGCAGCCGCGGUAAUACGGGGGAUGCAAGCGUUAGCCGGACUUAUUGGGUUUAAAGGGUGCGUAGGCUGUGAUGUAAGUCAGCGGGGAAAUGCCCCCGCGCAACGGGGUGAAGUGCCAUUGAUACUGGCUUGCUGGAAUGCGAGUGCCGUAGGAGGAAUGUGUGGUGUAGCGGUGAAAUGCAUAGAUAUCGCACAGAACACCGAUUGCGAAGGCAUCUCACGAAUCCGCGAUUGACGCUGAGGCACGAAAGCGUGGGUAUCAAACAGGAUUAGAUACCCCAGUAGUC